UUCUUUGUUAAUUGUCAGCUGCUUUUACCCAGCAAACACUAUAGAAAUGUUUGAACAGUUGGAUUUCAAACAUUUUUGUUUUGUGGAGUGGUGCAACUCUAAGCAAACGAACA
rfam:Myotis lucifugus cont2.50781, whole genome shotgun sequence.